rnacentral:rRNA from 1 species
GUCCACGCCCUAAACGAUGUCGACUGGUUGUUGGGUUUGACACUCUCAGUAACGAAGCUAACGCGUGAAGUCGACCGCCUGGGAGUACGGCCGCAAGGUUAAACUCAAAGGAAUUGACGGGACCCGCACAAGCGGUGGAUUAUGUGGAUUAAUUCGAUGCAACGCGAAACCUUACCUACCCUUGACAUGUCCGAGAGGCUGGAGAGAUCCAGCUGUGCCCGAAAGGGAAUCGGAACACAGGUGCUGCAUGGCUGUCGU